GACAGUUUGGCUGAGUGGUCUAAGGCACCAAAUUUAGGCUUUGGUUUGAAAGGGUGUGGGUUCAUAUCCCACAGUUGUCA
rnacentral:tRNA from 1 species